AACGAACGCUGGCGGCAUGCCUAACACAUGCAAGUCGAACGAGACCUUCGGGUCUAGUGGCGCACGGGUGCGUAACGCAUGGGAACCUGCCCUUAGGUUCGGAAUAACUCCCCGAAAGGGGUGCUAAUACCGGAUAAUGUCUUCGGACCAAAGAUUUAUCGCCUUUGGAUGGGCCCGCGUUGGAUUAGCUAGUUGGUAGGGUAAAAGCCUACCAAGGCGACGAUCCAUAGCUGGUCUGAGAGGAUGAUCAGCCACACUGGGACUGAGACACGGCCCAGACUCCUACGGGAGGCAGCAGUGGGGAAUAUUGGACAAUGGGCGAAAGCCUGAUCCAGCAAUGCCGCGUGAGUGAUGAAGGCCUUAGGGUUGUAAAGCUCUUUUACCCGGGAUGAUAACGACAGUACCGGGAGAAUAAGCUCCGGCUAACUCCGUG
rnacentral:rRNA from 1 species